rnacentral:rRNA from 1 species
CAAUGGGCGAAAGCCUGAUCCAGCAAUGCCGCGUGAGUGAUGAAGGCCUUAGGGUUGUAAAGCUCUUUUACCAGGGAUGAUAAUGACAGUACCUGGAGAAUAAGCUCCGGCUAACUCCGUGCCAGCAGCCGCGGUAAUACGGAGGGAGCUAGCGUUGUUCGGAAUCACUGGGCGUAAAGCGUGCGUAGGCGGUGACUCAAGUCAGAGGUGAAAUCCCCGGGCUCAACCUGGGAACUGCCUUUGUGACUGCAAGGCUAGAGUACGGCAGAGGGGGAUGGAAUUCCGCGUGUAGCAGUGAAAUGCGUAGAUAUGCGGAGGAACACCGAUGGCGAAGGCAAUCCCCUGGGCCUGUACUGACGCUCAUGCACGAAAGCGUGGGGAGCAAACAGGAUUAGAUACCCUGGUAGUCCACGCCCUAAACGAUGUCAACUGGUUGUUGGGUCUUAACUGACUCAGUAACGAAGCUAACGCGUGAAGUUGACCGCCUGGG